UACGUAGGGGGCGAGCGUUGUCCGGAAUUAUUGGGCGUAAAGAGCGUGUAGGCGGUUCGGUAAGUCUGCCGUGAAAACCUGGGGCUCAACCCCGGGCGUGCGGUGGAUACUGCCGGGCUAGAGGGUGGUAGAGGCGAGUGGAAUUCCCGGUGUAGCGGUGAAAUGCGCAGAUAUCGGGAGGAACACCAGUAGCGAAGGCGGCUCGCUGGGCCAUUCCUGACGCUGAGACGCGAAAGCUAGGGGAGCGAGUCGG
rnacentral:rRNA from 1 species